GCCCCCUUGGCGGAAUUGGUAGACGCAAGGGACUUAAAAUCCCUCGGCUUCGGCCAUGCCGGUUCGAUCCCGGCAGGGGGCACCA
rnacentral:tRNA from 1 species